GCCGGCGUGGCGGAACUGGUAGACGCAGCAGACUUAAAAUCUGCUGAGGAGCAAUCCUCGUGCGGGUUCGAGUCCCGCCGUCGGCA
rnacentral:tRNA from 2 species